AACGCACGAGACCUGCGGACCUGCGGAGGGAUCAUCAAUAGUCCUAACACCUUUGUAUGCGAGCUGUAGCAGUAGUUAUUGUGUCGUAUCACUACGCGCAUUACUAUUGCUCUCUCACAUCACCCUUGUGUGCACUGUUAUUUGUGUCUUGGUGGACUGGGAGUGUGUUUAGUGUUGUCAUUACUACUUUUGUGGUGUGGCACGCCUCCCAGCCUGCCGUUAACCAUAUGUUUGACUAAC
rnacentral:misc_RNA from 1 species